GCCCGCUGGCUCCGUCGGUAGAGCAUGAGACUGUUGAUCUCAGGGUAGUGAGUUCAAGUCCCACGUUGGGUA
rnacentral:tRNA from 1 species